UACGUGGGGGGCAAGCGUUGUCCGGAUUUAUUGGGCGUAAAGAGCUCGUAGGCGGUCUGUCGCGUCUGCUGUGAAAACUCGGGGCUUAACCCCGGGCCUGCAGUGGGUACGGGCAGACUAGAGUGCGGUAGGGGAGACUGGAAUUCCUGGUGUAGCGGUGAAAUGCGCAGAUAUCAGGAGGAACACCGGUGGCGAAGGCGGGUCUCUGGGCCGUAACUGACGCUGAGGAGCGAAAGCAUGGGGAGCGAACAGG
rnacentral:rRNA from 1 species